rnacentral:rRNA from 1 species
UACGUAGGCGGCGAGCGUUGUUCGGAGUUACUGGGCGUAAAGCGUGCGCAGGCGGUUGUGUAAGACAGAUGUGAAAUCCCCGGGCUCAACCUGGGAACUGCAUUUGUGACUGCACGGCUGGAGUGCGGCAGAGGGGGAUGGAAUUCCGCGUGUAGCAGUGAAAUGCGUAGAUAUGCGGAGGAACACCGAUGGCGAAGGCAAUCCCCUGGGCCUGCACUGACGCUCAUGCACGAAAGCGUGGGGAGCAAACAGG